AGAGUUUGAUCCUGGCUGAGAGUGAACGCUGGCGGCGUGCCUAACACAUGCAAGUCUAACGAGAACGGGUUUAGUUUACUAAACUGUCAGCUAAGUGGCGCACGGGUGAGUAAUAUAUAGUUAACCUGCCCCAAAGAAGAGAAUAAUUGUUGGAAACGACUUGUAAUGCUCUAUAUGCCUUUAAGACAUAAGUCUGCAAGGGAAAUAUUUAUAGCUUUGGGAUGGGACUGUACGGUAUCAGCUUGUUGGUGAGGUAAUGGCUCACCAAGGCUAUGACGCCUAACUGGUUUGAGAGGAUGAUCAGUCACACUGGAACUGAGACACGGUCCAGACUCCUACGGGAGGCAGCAGUGGGGAAUAUUGCACAAUGGAGGAAACUCUGAUGCAGCAACGCCGCGUGGAGGAUGACACAUUUCGGUGCGUAAACUCCUUUUAUAUGAGAAGAUAAUGACGGUAUCAUAUGAAUAAGCACCGGCUAACUCCGUGCCAGCAGCCGCGGUAAUACGGGGGGUGCAAGCGUUACUCGGAAUCACUGGGCGUAAAGAGCAUGUAGGCUGGUUUGUAAGUUGGAAGUGAAAUCCUAUGGCUUAACCAUAGAACUGCUUCCAAAACUGCAGACCUAGAAUAUGGGAGAGGUAGAUGGAAUUUCUGGUGUAGGGGUAAAAUCCGUAG
rnacentral:rRNA from 1 species